AGGACUUGGACACAAAGUCAAAAGUACUUAGCGCUGGGAAGAAAAAAGCUCAUAAGCAGGUGAAAAAGGAGAAAUCAAAUAGUGCAAGUGUUGAAACAAAAUCUAAACAUAAGAAGAAACAUAAAAUCUCGAAACUUGAAAAAAGAACGCUCUUUUCAUUAAUUUUAGCAGG
rnacentral:sRNA from 1 species